rnacentral:rRNA from 1 species
AGAGUUUGAUCCUGGCUCAGGAUGAACGCUGGCGGCGUGCCUAAUACAUGCAAGUCGAGCGAACGGACGAGAAGCUUGCUUCUCUGAUGUUAGCGGCGGACGGGUGAGUAACACGUGGAUAACCUACCUAUAAGACUGGGAUAACUUCGGGAAACCGGAGCUAAUACCGGAUAAUAUUUUGAACCGCAUGGUUCAAAAGUGAAAGACGGUCUUGCUGUCACUUAUAGAUGGAUCCGCGCUGCAUUAGCUAGUUGGUAAGGUAACGGCUUACCAAGGCAACGAUGCAUAGCCGACCUGAGAGGGUGAUCGGCCACACUGGAACUGAGACACGGUCCAGACUCCUACGGGAGGCAGCAGUAGGGAAUCUUCCGCAAUGGGCGAAAGCCUGACGGAGCAACGCCGCGUGAGUGAUGAAGGUCUUCGGAUCGUAAAACUCUGUUAUUAGGGAAGAACAUAUGUGUAAGUAACUGUGCACAUCUUGACGGUACCUAAUCAGAAAGCCACGGCUAACUACGUGCCAGCAGCCGCGGUAAUACGUAGGUGGCAAGCGUUAUCCGGAAUUAUUGGGCGUAAAGCGCGCGUAGGCGGUUUUUUAAGUCUGAUGUGAAAGCCCACGGCUCAACCGUGGAGGGUCAUUGGAAACUGGAAAACUUGAGUGCAGAAGAGGAAAGUGGAAUUCCAUGUGUAGCGGUGAAAUGCGCAGAGAUAUGGAGGAACACCAGUGGCGAAGGCGACUUUCUGGUCUGUAACUGACGCUGAUGUGCGAAAGCGUGGGGAUCAAACAGGAUUAGAUACCCUGGUAGUUCCACGCCGUAAACGAUGAGUGCUAAGUGUUAGGGGGUUUCCGCCCCUUAGUGCUGCAGCUAACGCAUUAAGCACUCCGCCUGGGGAGUACGACCGCAAGGUUGAAACUCAAAGGAAUUGACGGGGACCCGCACAAGCGGUGGAGCAUGUGGUUUAAUUCGAAGCAACGCGAAGAACCUUACCAAAUCUUGACAUCCUUUGACAACUCUAGAGAUAGAGCCUUCCCCUUCGGGGGACAAAGUGACAGGUGGUGCAUGGUUGUCGUCAGCUCGUGUCGUGAGAUGUUGGGUUAAGUCCCGCAACGAGCGCAACCCUUAAGCUUAGUUGCCAUCAUUAAGUUGGGCACUCUAAGUUGACUGCCGGUGACAAACCGGAGGAAGGUGGGGAUGACGUCAAAUCAUCAUGCCCCUUAUGAUUUGGGCUACACACGUGCUACAAUGGACAAUACAAAGGGCAGCGAAACCGCGAGGUCAAGCAAAUCCCAUAAAGUUGUUCUCAGUUCGGAUUGUAGUCUGCAACUCGACUACAUGAAGCUGGAAUCGCUAGUAAUCGUAGAUCAGCAUGCUACGGUGAAUACGUUCCCGGGUCUUGUACAAACCGCCCGUCACACCACGAGAGUUUGUAACACCCGAAGCCGGUGGAGUAACCUUUUAGGAGCUAGCCGUCGAAGGUGGGACAAAUGAUUGGGGUGAAGUCGUAACAAGGUAGCCGUAUCGGAA